GACGGAGGGUGCAAGCGUUGUUCGGAAUCACUGGGCGUAAAGCGCGUGUAGGCGGUUUGAUAAGUCGAAUGUGAAAGCCCGAGGCUCAACCUCGGAAGUGCAUUCGAAACUGUCAGGCUUGAGUACGGGAGAGGGAAGUGGAAUUCCUGGUGUAGAGGUGAAAUUCGUAGAGAUCAGGAGGAACACCGGUGGCGAAGGCGGCUUCCUGGACCGAUACUGACGAUGAGACGCGAAAGAGUGGGGAGCAAACAGG
rnacentral:rRNA from 1 species